rnacentral:snRNA from 1 species
GUUCUCUGGCUUCUCUUCAGUUGUUGAAUAAGUAUUUCGCCUUUUACUAAAGAUUUCCGUGGAGAGGAGCACUCUAAUGAGUCUAUAAGCAAUUUUUUCUUGUCAAAUUACUCUUAUCCU